rnacentral:rRNA from 1 species
GACGAACGCUGGCGGCGUGCUUAACACAUGCAAGUCGAACGGUGACCCUCGGAGCUUGCUUCGGGGUGAGCAGUGGCGAACGGGCGAGUAACACGUGAGUAACCUGCCCCUGACUCUGGAAUAAGCGCUGGAAACGGCGUCUAAUACCGGAUACGACACGCCUCCGCAUGGGGAGCGUGUGGAAAGUUUUUCGGUCUGGGAUGGACUCGCGGCCUAUCAGCUUGUUGGUGAGGUAAUGGCUCACCAAGGCGAUGACGGGUAGCCGGCCUGAGAGGGCGACCGGCCACACUGGGACUGAGACACGGCCCAGACUCCUACGGGAGGCAGCAGUGGGGAAUAUUGCACAAUGGGCGAAAGCCUGAUGCAGCGACGCCGCGUGAGGGAUGACGGCCUUCGGGUUGUAAACCUCUUUCAGCAGGGAAGAAGCGAAAGUGACGGUACCUGCAGAAGAAGCACCGGCUAACUACGUGCCAGCCGCCGCAGUAAAAC